rnacentral:misc_RNA from 1 species
UCUCCGUUGGUGAACCAGCGGAGGGAUCAUUACCGAGUUUACAACUCCCAAACCCCUGUGAACAUACCACUUGUUGCCUCGGCGGAUCAGCCCGCUCCCGGUAAAACGGGACGGCCCGCCAGAGGACCCUAAACUCUGUUUUUAGUGGAACUUCUGAGUAAAACAAACAAAUAAAUCAAAACUUUCAACAACGGAUCUCUUGGUUCUGGCAUCGAUGAAGAACGCAGC